rnacentral:rRNA from 1 species
GAAUAUUGGACAAUGGGGGGAACCCUGAUCCAGCCAUGCCGCGUGUGUGAAGAAGGCCUUUUGGUUGUAAAGCACUUUAAGCGAGGAGGAGGCUACUUAGAUUAAUACUCUAGGAUAGUGGACGUUACUCGCAGAAUAAGCACCGGCUAACUCUGUGCCAGCAGCCGCGGUGAUACAGAGGGUGCAAGCGUUAAUCGGAUUUACUUGGCGUAAAGCGGGGGGAGGUGGCCAAAUAAGGCAAAAGUGAAAUCCCCCAGGUUAACCUGGGAAUUUGAAUUGAAUCUUGUUUGGUUAGAUAAGGGGGGAGAAUGGAGAAAUCCCAGUUGAGGGGGUGAAAUGGUUGGAGAUCUGGAGAAAACCGGAUGGGAAAGCAGGCAUUUUGGCCUAAUCCUGACCCUGGGGUGGAAAGCAUUGGGAGCAAACA